UUACUGGGCGUAAAGCGCACGCAGGCGGUUGGAUAAGUUAGAUGUGAAAGCCCCGGGCUCAACCUGGGAAUUGCAUUUAAAACUGUCCAGCUAGAGUCUUGUAGAGGGGGGUAGAAUUCCAGGUGUAGCGGUGAAAUGCGUAGAGAUCUGGAGGAAUACCGGUGGCGAAGGCGGCCCCCUGGACAAAGACUGACGCUCAGGUGCGAAAGCGUGGGGAGCAAACAGGAUUAGAUACCCUGGUAGUCCACGCCGUAAACGAUGUCGAUUUGGAGGCUGUGUCCUUGAGACGUGGCUUCCGGAGCUAACGCGUUAAAUCGACCGCCUGGGGAGUACGGCCGCAAGGUUAAAACUCAAAUGAAUUGACGGGGGCCCGCACAAGCGGUGGAGCAUGUGGUUUAAUUCGAUGCAACGCGAA
rnacentral:rRNA from 1 species